ACCUGGCUGGCUCAGUUGGUAGAGCAUGUGACUCUUAAUCUCAAGGUUGUGAGUUCGAGCCCCACACUGGGUA